rnacentral:rRNA from 1 species
GAUGAACGCUGGCGGCGUGCCUAAUACAUGCAAGUCGAACGAACAGACGAGGAGUUUGCUCCUCUGACGUGAGCCGCGGACGGGUGAGUAACACGUGUAUAACCUACUGAUAAGACGGGGAUAACUGCGGGAAACCGGAGCUAAUACCGGAUAAUAUAUUGAACCGCAUGGUUCAAUAGUGAAAUACGGUGUUGCUGUCACUUACAGAUGAAUCCGCGCUGCAUUGGCUAGUUGGUAAGGUAACGGCUUACCAAGGCAACGAUGCGUAGCCGAGCUGAGAGGGGGAUCGCCCACACUGGGACUGAGACACGGUCCAGAGUCCUACGGGAGGCAGAAGUAGGGAAUCGUGCGAAAUGGGCGAAAUACUGACGGAGCAACGCCGCGUGAGUGAUGAAGGUCUUCGGAUCGUAAAACUCUGUUAUUAGGGAAGAACACAUGUGUAAGUAACUAUGCGCGUCUUGACGGUACCUAAUGAGAAAGCCACGGCUAACUACGUG